AUAUAUAUGAUUAUUUCUCUGUAAGAAAAAUAGAGUGGGAUACGAGAUAUAUUCUUUUGAUCUCUUUUUUAUAGGUUCUUCUAUAUUUAAGGUAUAAGUGGGCUUCUUUCUAAGAAUAAAAAUUCCAUGAGCUAUAUCUUUCCAAUUUAAAUCACGUAUUGUAGAUGCGUCCAUUAAGUAUUUAUAUACAACCUAUACAAAAUAUAUUCUACAUAAGAGACAAAAUUUAUUUUCAAAAGUGAUCUUAAAUUCUAAUUCUAUAUCCAAGUAAUAUGGUGAUAUAAAAGCAUUGUCUCUAUAAACCUAUUGAUAUCAAUAUCAGUCAAGAGACAUUAACAUCUUGUUAAAUAACCUCUGCAAAAAAGAAAUAUAAUACUUUUGAAAAAAUGGAACCUAUAAAACCCAUGAAGUUAAUAACAUCAUUUGCAAUCAUUGUAACCGUAAUACACUCUACUUGGUAUCUUUUUCGAGAGAAGUAUGUGCCGAAAAAUGAACAAGGCAAUAUCCCAAUUAUUAUGAUGUUUAAACAUCUUAUAGGACAAAAUGAGAAGAAUAGAAGCAGUGAUAAAAACUAAUGUAUAGUUAAUUUAAAAUAAUGUAUGAUUCUUUGUAAUAUAAUAAAUAAUUAUAUUGGAGAA